rfam:Salmo salar isolate Sally breed double haploid chromosome ssa04, whole genome shotgun sequence.
AAAGGAGUCUUCUGUAAGUCGCUCUGGAUAAGAGCGUCUGCUAAAUUACGUUAA